GAUGAAGAACGCAGCGAAAUGCGAUAAGUAGUGUGAAUUGCAGAAUUCAGUGAAUCAUCGAAUCUUUGAACGCACAUUGCGCCCCUUUGUAUUCCAUGGGGCAUGCCUGUUCGAGCGUCAUUUGUACCUUCAAGCUCUGCUUGGUGUUGGGUGUUUGUCUCGCCUCUGCGUGUAGACUCGCCUCAAAACAAUUGGCAGCCGGCGUAUUGAUUUCGGAGCGCAGUACAUCUCGCGCUUUGCACUCAUAACGACGACGUCCAAAAGUACAUUUUUACACUCUUGACCUCGGAUCAGGUAGGGAUACCCGCUGAACUUAAGCAUAUCAAUAAGCGGAGGA
rnacentral:misc_RNA from 1 species